GUGCUCUCUUUGGCAGCACACGUACUAACAUUGGCACAAUACAGAGAUUAGCACAGCCCCUGUGCAAAUUUGAAAAAUGUUCCAUAUUUUU
rnacentral:snRNA from 1 species